ensembl:lncRNA
GGAAGGCAAAACUGGACAUUUCUUCCCAAUCGACCAACUUAAUAAAAAUAGAAGAAAAUUGACCUUUACUUCAACCAGCAGGCACAUGCAUGAAGACCUAGAGAACAUACUGUUGGAAGCAACUUCAAAUUAUGCCAACAACUUCCUGUCCAAGUGCUUCCCUUGAGGCUACGCCAAGAGCGUGUCACACUCUACACACAACAGCUCUUCAAAGCUACGAAGAAGCUCUUUGACUGCGUCCUGGAAUCCCACAUCUUCCUCAACCUUUCCUUCUGGUACAUCUGUCUACCCUCUCUCCUUUCUACCCCAAUCUUCACCAAUUUGCCCACUUUCUCAUGAAUUGUGUCCCAGAAUGGAAUGCAGGCCAAUGCUGAGCUGGUGUGACUAGCUUUGAUGCGUGGGGAUAAGGAGGACACAUUUUUUUGCUAAGUGAUGGGAGGCUUGGGUGGGAACAAAAGCAAUGGAAACCAUUAAAAGAACCCAGUUUUAUCAUUCAGCAGUCAAAUCAAAAGGGAAAUAUUCUUUUCUUGGAAGAGGUCAAGGAAAAAUGAACUCACGAUAGUCAAAGGCUUGAUGGCUGUGACAUUUGCCUAGUCCAUGUUUUAAUUACUACUAUUAGAAUAUUUCAUUAAAGCACACUUGUUCUGUCAGUAAUCAUAUUAUCUAAGAAGGCAGAAGAAAAACAGAAUAUACGAUGGCAGCAAAUUACUUUUAGAUUAUGAAACAAGGCUUUGAAAUUCUGCCUAAAUUCUCUAUAAUUUAAACUGACUAGUUUGAUAAUCCCCUGUAUGAUAUAAAAACAACUUAAAGCACCUUUUAGCAAAAUACAUAAGCAUGUCCCUCAGCAGAGCACUUGCCAAGCAUAUUGAAGGCCCCAACUACAAUCCCUAGUACCUCAAAACAUAACUACCCAAAUAAAAAUAUAAUAUAUAGACAAAAUAUUGUUAUAACAGCUGAAACGCUGAAAGUGUGUAGAUAGUGUGGCUCAUAAAAUCUCUGCCCGCGUGGGAAGGUGGCUGAGCGAUUAGAGCAUUCACUGCUCUUCCAGAGGACCUGAGUCUGGCACCUAAUAUCCAUGGUAGAGGCCUGCAGCCAUUAUCUGUAACUCAGCCCAGAGGAUCUGACACCCUCUUCUGGACUCUGAGGUACCUGGACUCAUGUGCAAACACACACACACACACACACACACACACACACACACACACACGCACCCCAUAAAAUAAAUCUUUAAAAUACCUGCCCACAAGGCUCUGCCUUAAGAUCUUAGUAUGGCUCGGCCAUCUUCUGCAUCACAAUAAUGCCUGUUUAAGAGUUCCAAACUGGAAUCAAAGAACCGGAAGACCGGAAGGAACGUGGACGAUUAGUCAGUUCCAUCUUCAAACACAGUGUAUGAAGUCCAAGGGAUUUAGCAGACCCAGAUCCAGGAAGGGAUACGGGAUGGUGGAGAUUGCGCAGCAGGGCUCCUCUUGACUCAUACAGACCAUUUCAAAUCACCUCACAGCAUCAGAGCCAGGGUAUCAGAACAGCACACUUGAUAACGCUGCUUCACACACACACACACACACACACACACACACACCUUUCAUCCCCUACCCCAAAUCUCCCUUUAUUAUACCUAAAGUUCUGUCAGUAACCCCAAGAUGAAGUUGGGGGUCAUUGAACCUCCUACGUCUUUACUUCCCAAUGUAGCAACGCUGAUAAAGCUCUGGUAUCUGACUUUUAGGAUUAGAAGGAAAAAAGAUAAUUAGCCAGGCUGCUGGUUCACACCUACAGACAUAGAAAGCAUUUGGCCAGGAGGGCAGGAAUUCAAGCCCAUCCAUGGCUACAUGAGACACUGCCUCACAAAACAGAAAUCCAAUGAUAAUUAAUUUAAAAUCCAAUGACAUGAACUGGAUCCCCAAAACCCACAUGCUGAAGGGAGAGAAUGGAUUUCCACAGGUUGUCCUCUGAACUUCCUUUUCAUGAGUACAACAGCACCGGCACACACACACACACACACACACACAUACGACAGAUAGAUAGAUAGAUAGAUAGAUAGAUAGAUAGAUAGAUAGAUAGAUGAUAGAUAGAUAGAUUAGAUGUGUUUUAAAAGGAAAAACUAGUUUAAUGAACAUUAACUUUAACUGGCCAUUUUCUCAUUGACAAACACAACCAAAUAAUAAAGUACCUUCUGGAAGGUAUAAGGACGCUUCAUGGUCAGGUGCAGUGUUCUAAUUAUUGGCUAGUUCACAUUGGCAAGUAACCCAACAACUUAAUGCAUUUUUGUGUUUUUUUUUUCGGAGCUGGGGACCGAACCCAGGGCCUUGCGCUUGCUAGGCAAGCGCUCUACCACUGAGCUAAAUCCCCAACCCCACAUUUUUGUGUUUUAUAGAAUGUAUCUACCUAUAGUUACUUGUCAUUCAUACUCUCUUUACCAAAGAAAUGUAAAAUCAAAGCCAGAUGUAGUAGAUCAUGCCUAAAGCCCAGCACUUAGGGGUCUAAGACUAAAGGAUUUUUAUGGAGUUCAAAACCAACCUCAACUACAUAGUCAAUACCACCCCAGGCUACUCUAAAUAAAUUCAUGAACAAAUAAAUUAAAAAAUAUUAAAGCAAUUUUCUCUUAAAUAUGUAAUAUAAUAUUCCUCACCCAACCAUGACCACCUUACCACCAUCACCAUGCUGGGACACAUCCCUAGGGAACAAUAUGCUGUAAUUUGAACUUCACUCCCAAAUGGUUAUUUAAUAUAUCCCUGCUAUACUUAACAUAUUUCUACCAGGAAAAUAAUAAUAAUCAAAAGCUGGGCACAGCUGCAGAUGCCUGUCAUCCCAACACUUAAAGAAGUAGAUUCAAAAGGAUCCAGAGUUCAAGGUCAUCUACACCUACAGAGUGAAUUCAAGCCAGUUUGGAUGACCUGAGACCCAGUUUCAAGAAAACAAAACACAACAAAAAAUUAAGGGAACCAAGCAGGACAGUGUAAACCUAGGGUUUCUUCCCAGCUGCCUAUGAAAUCAAUAUGGUUAUUUCCUCAAUUUUAAAAAAGAGGAAAAUGGUUUCAAAGUAGCUACUGAACAAACAUGAAAAAUGAAUUUUUAAAAUGAGUAACUUAAAUGUGAGCCAUCUGGGUACAUAAAAUAGUGGGGGAAAUGCUACGUUUAUAACAGAAACCUCAAUUCCAGGCAUAUCUCGUUAGUGUGGGCCUUGUUCUGGACACAAUAUCCUCUGCUACUAAACGGGGCUUUAUAAUAAUUUCUAAUUCAUAGUAGUAACAGAACUAAAUAAGUUAUGACAUUGUAUUGCUCUAGCAUGCAAACAGCAACUAAACACUGUUAAAGACCAAGAAAUAAAAACCUACUUUUAAAGUCUGGUUCCCACAAGCCUCCUAUGAUUGAAUCUAUUUGGGUGGGGAUACAGUUACUUUGUUUCCUCUCAAGCCCAUGAAGUGUGAAAUACACACACUUGCAGAGCAGUUCUUUAUCUGGUGGAUCCACAGGGUCCUGAGGUUACAAAGCUUUCUUUUCUUACUGUUUCUGGCCAUAGGAUCUUCCUCUAGGGUAUGAUCCAGGCUAAGGGCCCCGUUCAGGCUUCCUCAGUACUUUCCUAAAUUUCCCUCAUCUGACUCACUUUCUUCCAAUCAUUCUGUUCCAAAUGCCUGGGACUCACAUGUCUCCUUCAGUUCCUCCGGUGACCCUUCACACCCAUUUGUAACACUGUAUUUUCUGGUACCAUAAUCCUAUGUAGAAACUCCAAGAGAAAUGAUACUGCCGGGAAACUAACAGGAGACCUAUUUCUCCAAUAAAAUUAUUAUUAUUAACAGAUUUUUGAUAGUUGAUUU